rnacentral:rRNA from 1 species
UAUGGAGAGUUUGAUCCUGGCUCAGAGUGAACGCUGGCGGCGUGCCUAAUACAUGCAAGUCGAACGAUGAAGCUUCUAGCUUGCUAGAGUGCUGAUUAGUGGCGCACGGGUGAGUAACGCAUAGGUUAUGUGCCUUUUAGUUUGGGAUAGCCAUUGGAAACGAUGAUUAAUACCAGAUACUCCCUACGGGGGAAAGAUUUAUCGCUAAGAGAUCAGCCUAUGUCCUAUCAGCUUGUUGGUAAGGUAAUGGCUUACCAAGGCUAUGACGGGUAUCCGGCCUGAGAGGGUGAACGGACACACUGGAACUGAGACACGGUCCAGACUCCUACGGGAGGCAGCAGUAGGGAAUAUUGCUCAAUGGGGGAAACCCUGAAGCAGCAACGCCGCGUGGAGGAUGAAGGUUUUAGGAUUGUAAACUCCUUUUGUUAGAGAAGAUAAUGACGGUAUCUAACGAAUAAGCACCGGCUAACUCCGUGCCAGCAGCCGCGGUAAUACGGAGGGUGCAAGCGUUACUCGGAAUCACUGGGCGUAAAGAGCGCGUAGGCGGGAUAGUCAGUCAGGUGUGAAAUCCUAUGGCUUAACCAUAGAACUGCAUUUGAAACUACUAUUCUAGAGUGUGGGAGAGGUAGGUGGAAUUCUUGGUGUAGGGGUAAAAUCCGUAGAGAUCAAGAGGAAUACUCAUUGCGAAGGCGACCUGCUGGAACAUUACUGACGCUGAUUGCGCGAAAGCGUGGGGAGCAAACAGGAUUAGAUACCCUGGUAGUCCACGCCCUAAACGAUGGAUGCUAGUUGUUGGAGGGCUUAGUCUCUCCAGUAAUGCAGCUAACGCAUUAAGCAUCCCGCCUGGGGAGUACGGUCGCAAGAUUAAAACUCAAAGGAAUAGACGGGGACCCGCACAAGCGGUGGAGCAUGUGGUUUAAUUCGAAGAUACACGAAGAACCUUACCUAGGCUUGACAUUGAGAGAAUCCGCUAGAAAUAGUGGAGUGUCUGGCUUGCCAGACCUUGAAAACAGGUGCUGCACGGCUGUCGUCAGCUCGUGUCGUGAGAUGUUGGGUUAAGUCCCGCAACGAGCGCAACCCCCUUUCUUAGUUGCUAACAGGUUAUGCUGAGAACUCUAAGGAUACUGCCUCCGUAAGGAGGAGGAAGGUGGGGACGACGUCAAGUCAUCAUGGCCCUUACGCCUAGGGCUACACACGUGCUACAAUGGGGUGCACAAAGAGAAGCAAUACUGUGAAGUGGAGCCAAUCUUCAAAACACCUCUCAGUUCGGAUUGUAGGCUGCAACUCGCCUGCAUGAAGCUGGAAUCGCUAGUAAUCGCAAAUCAGCCAUGUUGCGGUGAAUACGUUCCCGGGUCUUGUACUCACCGCCCGUCACACCAUGGGAGUUGUGUUUGCCUUAAGUCAGGAUGCUAAAUUGGCUACUGCCCACGGCACACACAGCGACUGGGGUGAAGUCGUAACAAGGUAACCGUAGGUGAACCUGCGGUUGGAUCACCUCCUU